AUGUCAUGCAAACUCAAAAUCCUGAUUCUCUAGUCAUCAUAUGGAUGCCAAUUGCCAAAAGGUGAAAAUAGAUCAAGUUAGCUUCGUUCUUUCUCAAGUUCUUUUUCCUUUGAAAAUUUCUUGCCUUUUUCUCGACUGGAGGCACUUCCCCUGGCUCCGCCUAGGUGCCAAGGCAACGCCUAGUUGAAGGCAACUUGCCUGGAGUCUUCCCAAGCGAGGUGCCGGGAUUUUGCCUUGCCGGGCGCCUCUUGACAACAAUGAUAUCAAUCAGAUAUAAAGCUACAGAAAAAGCGUAUGUCUCCUUAAUUCUAUUCAAAAAGACACAUAACAUUAAAGCACAUAAAAAUAAGAAGUAUAACACUUCAAAGGGAGAAAAACAAGAACUUGCACACUCAGGAUGUCAGUCCUUUUUUUGGGUGCUUUAGUUCAUGUCUACAUUAGAUAUCAAAAUCAUACUUAUAUUAUCAUCCUCUUUUUUUCUUAAUUUAUGAAUUUUAAAGGAUGACAAGGAGGUGCAGCUCAUCUUGUCACCCAUAUCAGGACCUCAACUACCCUUUUACUCAAGUAAGACCUAUUUAUGGACUCCAAAAGCCUAUUAUCAGUACCCUUUAAAAUUGAGAUUGGCAUUAUAAUUAUGGUCAAAAGAGAUGUUUCCACACCUUUUUAGAAGUGCUAUCCUAAACCAAAGCUUUUAGGAUGUGUAACUGAAAAGAAUAAUAACUAAACAACUAUGCUGGUACUAUCAAAUGAAAAUUACCUCAUUGGUGAAUUUAAAAUAUUACAAUAUUUUACAUCACAUGCCAUUGACUAAAAUAGAUUUCUGACGCUUGGCUAUUUUAAACAUAAGUUAAACAAAAUGACAUAAUUUGUAUUACCUUCG
rnacentral:misc_RNA from 1 species